GUAGGGAAUAUUGGGCAAUGGUCGGAAGACUGACCCAGCCAUGCCGCGUGCAGGAAGACGGCCCUCUGGGUUGUAAACUGCUUUUAUCUGGGAAGAAAAAGGCCAUGCGUGGCAAAUUGCCGGUACCAGAUGAAUAAGCACCGGCUAACUCCGUGCCAGCAGCCGCGGUAAUACGGAGGGUGCGAGCGUUGUCCGGAUUUAUUGGGUUUAAAGGGUGCGUAGGCGGCUGAUUAAGUCAGCGGUGAAAGACUUCGGCUUAACCGGAGCAGUGCCGUUGAUACUGGUUGGCUUGGGUGUCGGAGGGGUACAUGGAAUUGAUGGUGUAGCGGUGAAAUGCAUAGAUACCAUCAGGAACACCGAUAGCGAAGGCAUUGUACUGGCCGACAACUGACGCUGAUGCACGAAAGUGUGGGGAUCGAACAGGAUUAGAAACCCCUGUAGUCC
rnacentral:rRNA from 1 species